GCUCUGCACCAGCAGCGACGGCACCAGCACGAAGAAGAGGGUCAGCCCGAAGUAGCCGUAGUCCCCCUUGCGGUAGUAGUCGAGGGCCAGCCACAGGAGAUCUACUUUGUGUUUAAAUCACAGCUCUGUCGUUAACCAGCUAUAGGAUUUGGAGGAAGGAACUGUGACUUGAUUCUAACCCAUAGAAUACGGCAAAGGCAACGUCAUGUCGCUCUCCUGGAUUACACUGCAUUAGAUAAGACUCUAUCAUAGCAGUCUGGAGCUGAAGACUCUCUUUGUGGGCUGGAUGAAGCCAGCAGCCGCGUUGGAGGAGCCCAGGUGACAAGGUGACCUCUAGAACUGGGAACCCACCUCCUAACAACAGCAAGAAGCUGGGACCCUCAGUAAUAUAACCCCAAGGAAAUGAUUUCUACCAACUUGAAUGACCUGGGUAGCAGAUUCUUCCCCAGCUGAGCCUCCAAAUGAGAAUGUGUCCCAGCCAACAGCUUGAUUAUAGGAGUGUGAGAGCCGAGCAGAGGACCCAGCCAAGCUGUGCCUGAACUCCUGCCCAACAGAAACUGUGAGAUAAUAAAUAUGUGUUGUUUUAAG
rnacentral:lncRNA from 1 species